rnacentral:rRNA from 1 species
UACGUAGGGGGCUAGCGUUGUCCGGAAUCAUUGGGCGUAAAGAGCGUGUAGGCGGCUCGGUAAGUCCGCUCUGAAAGCCCGGGGCUCAACCCCGGGAGGCGGGCGGAUACUGUCGGGCUAGAGUCCGGAAGAGGCGAGUGGAAUUCCUGGUGUAGCGGUGAAAUGCGCAGAUAUCGGGGGGAACACCAAUGGCGAAGGCAGCUCGCUGGGACGUGACUGACGCUGAGACGCGAAAGCGUGGGGAGCAAACAGG